UACGUAGGGACCAAGCGUUGUUCGGAUUUACUGGGCGUAAAGAGCUCGUAGGCGGCUGUUCGAGUCGGGUGUGAAAUCCUGAGGCUUAACCUUGGGUCUGCAUUCGAUACUGGGCGGCUUGAGUCUGGUAGGGGGAUCUGGAAUUCCUGGUGUAGCGGUGAAAUGCGCAGAUAUCAGGAGGAACACCGGUGGCGAAGGCAGGUCUCUGGGCCGAUACUGACGCUGAGGAGCGAAAGCGUGGGGAGCAAACAGG
rnacentral:rRNA from 1 species